rnacentral:rRNA from 1 species
AGGCCAGACUCCUACGGGAGGCAGCAGUGGGGGAUAUUGCACAAUGGGGGAAACCCUGAUGCAGCGACGCCGCGUGGGUGAAGAAGCGCCUCGGCGCGUAAAGCCCUGUCAGCAGGGAAGAAAAUGACGGUACCUGAAGAAGAAGCCCCGGCUAACUACGUGCCAGCAGCCGCGGUAAUACGUAGGGGGCAAGCGUUAUCCGGAUUUACUGGGUGUAAAGGGGGCGCAGACGGCAGCGCAAGCCAGGAGUGAAAGCCCGGGGCCCAACCCCGGGACUGCUCUUGGAACUGCGCGGCUGAAGUGCAGGAGGGGCAGGCGGAAUUCCUGGUGUAGCGGUGAAAUGCGUAGAUAUCAGGAGGAACACCGGUGGCGAAGGCGGCUUACUGGACUGUAACUGACGUUGAGGCUCGAAAGCGUGGGGAGCAAACAGGAUUAGAUACCCCUGUA